UUAAUCAUACAAUGUCUGCUUAGAAUGCUUUAUUAUAAAGGCUUUAUUCCAAAUCUAUCUAAUCAAACAAUGCAAACCGUUGCUUUACAUUUACAACAGGAAAUAUCAACACAUACAGAAAAUGCAAUGGUGAAUUCAAUAAAGCAUACAAAGUAUUCACAUUCAAACUGCUAGACAUUUAAAUAACCAAAUAAAUACAACUAUACUAAUGCAAGUAAACAAUACUUUUUGUCAGGCGUGGAAAAGAAGUCAUCUUUUGAACUUCUUAUCUAAAUGCAGUUUAUUUUACCCAACAUCCUAAUCCUCAUCUACUGCUAUCUAAGUCUUUU